rnacentral:rRNA from 1 species
UAACGUCCGUCGUGAAGAGGGAAACAACCCAGACCGCCAGCUAAGGUCCCAAAGUCAUGGUUAAGUGGGAAACGAUGUGGGAAGGCCCAGACAGCCAGGAUGUUGGCUUAGAAGCAGCCAUCAUUUAAAGAAAGCGUAAUAGCUCACUGGUCGAGUCGGCCUGCGCGGAAGAUGUAACGGGGCUAAACCAUGCACCGAAGCUGCGGCAGCGACACUAUG